GUGGGGAAUUUUCCGCAAUGGGCGAAAGCCUGACGGAGCAAGACCGCGUGGGGGAAGAAGGCUCUUGGGUUGUAAACCCCUUUUCUCUGGGAAGAAAGUUGUGAAAGCAACCUGACGGUACCAGAGGAAUCAGCAUCGGCUAACUCCGUGCCAGCAGCCGCGGUAAGACGGAGGAUGCAAGCGUUAUCCGGAAUGAUUGGGCGUAAAGCGUCCGCAGGUGGCAGUUCAAGUCUGCUGUCAAAGACCGGGGCUUAACUUCGGAAAGGCAGUGGAAACUGAACAGCUAGAGUAUGGUAGGGGCAGAGGGAAUUCCUGGUGUAGCGGUGAAAUGCGUAGAGAUCAGGAAGAACAUCGGUGGCGAAGGCGCUCUGCUGGACCAUAACUGACACUCAGGGACGAAAGCUAGGGGAGCGAAUGGGAUUAGAAACCCCAGUAGUCC
rnacentral:rRNA from 1 species